rnacentral:rRNA from 1 species
AUUGAACGCUGGCGGCAGGCCUAACACAUGCAAGUCGAACGAGUGGCGGACGGGUGAGUAAUGUCUGGGAAACUGCCUGAUGGAGGGGGAUAACUACUGGAAACGGUUGCUACUACCGCAUACCAUCAGAUGUGCCCAGAUGGGAUGAGCGUGUGGGUGGGGUAACGGCUCACCAAGGCGACGAUCCCUAGCUGGUCUGAGAGGAUGACCAGCCACCAUGUAACUGGGAACCGGUCCGAACUCCGAGUGGAGGCAGCAGGGGGGAAUGUUGCACAAUGGGCGAAAGCUUGAUGCAGCCAUGCCGGGGGUAUGAAGAAGGCUUUCGGGUUGUAAAGUACUUUCAGCGGGGAGGCGUUACCCGCAGAAGAAGCACCGGCUAACUCCGUGCCAGCAGCCGCGGUAAUU